CAGCGGGCACACUGCGGGGGAAUGGGGCACGGGGGCUUGGCGAGCUCGAACGCGAGCGCUAAGGCCCGGCGGGCCGAGGGAGAGCUGCGCGCUUGCCGAAUCCCAUGACCAAAGGCCGGUGCAGGCCGCCAGAAGCGCGGGCCGCGGACCGGACGGCAGCAGGUGCGGGCUGGGCAGAGCAGCCCCCGGAGCCCUGGCCAAGCCCUUGCUCUCUGAUGUGGCCUGGGAAAGAAGCAGAAGAUGGCCCAAGUUUUUGGGGCCCUGUACACAUGUAGGAGACCCAAAAGAAGCUUCUGGCUCCUGGCUUUGGAUCAGCCCAGCUCUGGCCUUUGAGACCAUUUAUGGAGUAAACCAGCAGAUGGAAGACCUUCUUUAAAUAAUCUAGCAAUCAGAAGAUAGAGGAAAGGCUCUGCAUAUGGUGGCUUGGGAAGAUAACACACAAAACUUCAGAACGCAGUCUAGAUUUCAUGCCACAAAUAGGAAGGCAUCUCACAUUUCAAGGUAUUUUAUACAACUACAGUUUUCUUCUAGCAUUUUUGUGUUUUUUGUUUGUGGUUACUUUCAGUUUCCUUUUCAACUGAAAAGAGAGCAGCAGCAGCAACUAACUGAUGUCACAAAAGAGGACUCCUUAGAAGUUUCUGAGCACAGGGCGAGACUGAGGCAGCAUCCUCCCUUUUGAACAGGAAGGAAGAAUCAAGAGACCGGACAACAAGCUGAGACGGUGAAGAGCUGAGAGAGUCCAAGCUGCAAAUAACCUCUUCUCCAUAAUUACAAAUGGCAACACAUCUGCUGAAGGAGGAGAGGCCUGAGAGGGGAUCUGAGUAGAAAUGAAACUGUUUCUAACCACGAUGGUGCUGCUCGCAGCAAGGAGUUCCUAGGCUAGUUAAUGUGAAGAUGCCAAUUCACCUUGGUUCAGUUAUUAUUAAGGGGAUAUUGGUAAUCCCCUUAGGUUUGUUCAUUCAGAUUCCUUUAAAAUUUCUAUAACCUUUUUCUGACCACAUACAAAUAUGACGAUACGUCAAAAAGUUUGCAGAGAAAUGGAAUUAAAAGUAUGAGUUUUAAGACCAGUGUUUGGGGGCGGGCGCCAUGGCUCACUUGGUUAAUCCUCCGCCUGCAGUGCAGGCAUCCCAUAUGGGCUCCAUGUUCUAGUCCCGGUUGCUCCUCUUCCAGUCCAGCUCUGUGCUGUGGCCCGGGAGUGCAGUGGAGGAUGGCCCUAGUGCUUGGGCCCCUGCACCUGCAUGGGAGACCAGGAGGAAGCACCUGGCUCCUGGCUUUAGAUCGGCGCAGCACGCCAGCUGUAGUGACCAUUUUGGGGGUGAACCAACGGAAGGAUGACCAUUCUUUCUGUCUGUCUCUCUCUCUCUCACUGUCUAACUCUAUCUGUCAAAAAAAAUAAAAAAAAAAGACCAGUGCUUGAUGUAGUGAGUAAAUCACCACUUGGUACUGCCACAUCCUAUAUCAGUGUCUAGGUUCAAGUUCUAGCUUACCUCUCCAUACCAGCUUCCCUACUAGUGUACAUCCUAGGAGUUAGGAGGUGAUGGUUCAAAUAUUUGGAUCGGUGACACCUGUGUGGAAGACCUACAUUGAGUUCCUGGCUUUGACCUGACAUGGUUUUGACCUGACAUGCUGUUGUAGGCAUUUGGGGGAAUGAACCAGCAGGUGAGAUCUCUAUCUCUCUUUCUCUCUCUCUCUCUCCCUCCUUCCCUCUCUCUCUCUCUCUCUUCUCUCUACCAAUCAAAUAAAUAAAUAACUAGUUUUUAAAAUAUGAGUUUAUGUUGGUGCAAAAACUUUUUGAAAUCUAGGCAUAGUUUUUUGUAUGAAUGUUAUCUCAUACUUUAAAUUCCAUUUUCCAUAAACUUCUUGAGGUUGAUUCAUGCAUAAUUAUAAAAUGAACCGCAUAUUUCCCAUAUACCCUUACCCUUAGUGAAAAUACACAUGUCAAUCUAUGACUCAUGUAAUUAAAAAUUCCAUUACUAAUGGGAAAUUAAAUGAAUUAAUAAAACUAUCUUACCUACAUAGUCUCCUGAGUUUCUUUCUAUAACGUGUUAAAUUACAAUAAAGCCUUGGCUCCCUAAAACCUCAGAAAAUGAAUCAUUUUUGCUAGUUGAAAAUCUGUCUAGAAAAUGUUGCUGCUGUCUGAUGUUAUAAUAAGUGCUAUCUAAAUUUGAAAUGUACAGGAGAUACUGAAAGAAUAAAUUAA